rnacentral:rRNA from 1 species
AACGAACGCUGGCGGCAUGCCUAACACAUGCAAGUCGAACGAGACCUUCGGGUCUAUUGGCGCACGGGUGCGUAACGCGUGGGAACCUGCCCUUAGGUUCGGAAUAACUCCCCGAAAGGGGUGCUAAUACCGGAUAAUGUCUUCGGACCAAAGAUUUAUCGCCUUUGGAUGGGCCCGCGUUGGAUUAGCUAGUUGGUAGGGUAAAAGCCUACCAAGGCGACGAUCCAUAGCUGGUCUGAGAGGAUGAUCAGCCACACUGGGACUGAGACACGGCCCCGACUCCUACGGGAGGCAGCAGUGGGGAAUAUUGGACCAUGGGCGAAAGCCUGAUCCAGCAAUGCCGCGUGAGUGAUGAAGGCCUUAGGGUUGUAAAGCUCUUUUACCCGGGAUGAUAAUGACAGUACCGGGAGAAUAAGCUCCGGCUAACUCCGUG